rnacentral:rRNA from 1 species
UACAGAGGGGGCAAGCGUUGUUCGGAAUUACUGGGCGUAAAGGGCGCGUAGGCGGCCUUCUAAGUCGAACGUGAAAUCCCCGGGCUCAACCCGGGAACUGCGUCCGAUACUGGAAGGCUUGAAUCCGGGAGAGGGAUGCGGAAUUCCAGGUGUAGCGGUGAAAUUCGUAGAUAUCGGGAGGAACACCGGUGGCGAAGGCGGCGAUCUGGGUAGAUACUGACGCUGAGGUGCGAAAGCGUGGGGAGCAAACAGG